rnacentral:rRNA from 1 species
UACGUAGGUGGCAAGCGUUGUCCGGAUUUAUUGGGUUUAAAGGGUGCGUAGGCGGCUUUGUAAGUCAGUGGUGAAAUACUCUAGCUUAACUAGAGGGGUGCCAUUGAUACUGCGGAGCUUGAGUACAGAUGAGGUAGGCGGAAUUGACGGUGUAGCGGUGAAAUGCAUAGAUAUCGUCAAGAACACCGAUAGCGAAGGCAGCUUACUGGGCUGUAACUGACGCUGAGGCACGAAAGUGUGGGGAUCAAACAGG